CAUCAACAAAUGAAUAGAAAUAUCUUAUUCUGCUCUGCUGAUAUAACUAAUUCCCCAGCAGAACAGAAUAAGGGGACUGUUGAUACUUGGUUGAUUCUAAACAUCUGUUCUGGUAAUUUUGUAAAAGAUUGGAAAUCUUUGAAUAUAAAAAGAUUAUAAAGGUCGAAGCAAGACUUUCCGAUUCCCUUCUAUUGCUAUACUCAUUGGGUCUUGAAUUACAUUGGAUAGCCGGGGGAUAAUUCAACUACUAGUUAGGGAAUUUCUAUACUGUAAUCUACAUAUAUAGACUCACGUAUAGACUCGCGAGAAUCUCUGAGUGUUCAGGCAUUCAAUCACUAUUAGAUUGAGAUUGCAUAGAUUUUUUAUAGAAAAGAAAAAAAAUGAUUUUUUUUCACCCCUCGUCAAGAGUAUAAUAUACUAUCUCCCAACUCCUUCAGAUAGACAAUCGCGAAGGGGUACGGAUUAUAUCAAAUAUCAAUAUCAAAUAGGAAAUAAAAGUAUGUAAUAGAUAGCAAUUGAUCUAUUUUUACUUUGAAGGGCAAGAAAAACUUGUGUUUAGUCUUUCCCCAUUAGAAAUCAUAUAGGAAUUUUUGAAAUGGGUUUAUUUGAUUGGUUCAUCAAUAGUGUUUGGUCAGAAUCCCUUUUUGACUCUGGACCAUUCAUUCUACUAUUAUUAGUGAGCAAUAAUGGAAUAAUUC
rnacentral:misc_RNA from 1 species